CGUGAGGUCGGAAGUUCAAGUCUUCCCAGGCCCACCACUUUGAUCGAGCGCAUUGCGUCUCAAUAAUCGACGUAAAGCAUUCGUCUUCUGGUACGGGGCCAUAGCUCAGCUGGGAGAGCGCGUGCUUUGCAAGCAUGAGGUCGUCGGUUCGAUCCCGUCUGGCUCCACCAGAUGAAAUCGAAGAUCGAGAUGCCUCGAAUAAUCGUCCGCGAAACAUCACUUCGCAUGCGUAGUCCGGAUGGACAGCGUCAUGCGUGAUAUCUGACAUCGUAAAGAGGAGAUCGAUCCGAGUUUGGGAUCUGCAAAGCAAUUUGCGGAAUCUCAUUCCUAAUCUCCAGAUCAUUUCGGCGCUCGCUCAUCGCAAGAUGAGUGAGUUGUAAAUGGUCUUUGUAGCGAAGCUUGACCGCCUCGCUAUCGGUUCGAUCUUACGAAGCAAGCUGGUCUUUCUAAUCAGUGUCCAGCCGCAUGCAGCAUUCAUCGAGGGUGCGCGCCUUUUGACUUCGGUCUUGAGGCAAGUGUGCGGACAACAUUCUGCCGAGUGUGUGGACAUUGAUAAUGAGAGCAAUCAAGUGCCUUAAGGGUGUUCGGUGGAUGCCUUGGCGCUGAGAGGCGAUGAAGGACGUGCUACGCUGCGAUAAGCCGUGGGGAGCUGCGAAGAAGCUUUGAUCCACGGAUUUCCGAA
rnacentral:misc_RNA from 1 species